UAUGUAGGGUGCGAGCGUUGUCCGGAAUUAUUGGGCGUAAAGAGCUCGUAGGCGGUGUGUCGCGUCGGUCGUGAAAACUUUCAGCUUAACUGGGAGCUUGCGGUCGAUACGGGCAUCACUGGAGUUCGGCAGGGGAGACUGGAAUUCCUGGUGUAGCGGUGAAAUGCGCAGAUAUCAGGAGGAACACCGGUGGCGAAGGCGGGUCUCUGGGCCGAUACUGACGCUGAGGAGCGAAAGCGUGGGGAGCGAACAGG
rnacentral:rRNA from 1 species